rnacentral:pre_miRNA from 1 species
GCGGGGAGCGCUGGAUCUUGCUGUGUCCCCUGGGGCCCUGUGCUCCAGGGCCUGCGCCACUGGAAUUGCACUCCCAGAUGCGCAGCCUCCU